UACAGAGGUCCCGAGCGUUGUUCGGAUUCAUUGGGCGUAAAGCGUGCGCAGGCGGUGAUGUAAGACAGAUGUGAAAUCCCCGGGCUCAACCUGGGAACUGCAUUUGUGACUGCAUCGCUGGAGUGCGGCAGAGGGGGAUGGAAUUCCGCGUGUAGCAGUGAAAUGCGUAGAUAUCGAGAGGAACACCUGCGGCGAAGGCGGGUUGCUGGGCUGACACUGACGCUGAUGCGCGAAAGCCAGGGGAGCGAACGGG
rnacentral:rRNA from 1 species